rnacentral:lncRNA from 1 species
UUUCCAAUGAACUUAACACCACCAACAACAACAACAAACCCAUCAUUGAAAACACCAAUGAGAGGGUUGAUCCUUGGAAAGUGAAGAGGUUUUGUUGCAUGCCAAGAAGGGUGCAUGAUAGUGGUGUAACAAAACAUAGGUGCAGUGAUGAAGAAGAAACCAUUAGUUCCUAUGAAAGAAGUGUUGGGUUGGUUUUGGUUUUGGUUUGGAGUAGUGGUGAGGAAAGGAGUGAGUUGGAACCAAGAAUUGGAAGUUGGGUCAAAAGCAAAGGAUUGGUUGUUUUUGGAGGAUAUGUUGUGGAUGCCAUGGAGGAAGAACCAUGGCUUAUGGUGGUGGUUGGUGGUAGUGGUGGUGGAGAAGGAGAAGGAGGAGAUUAUAGAGUGCCAUAGUUUGCAAACAAUGGAGGAUUUGAUGAGUGUAGAGAUUGGGAGAAAGGAGAGGAUUAAUUCUAUGAGGUCUGAACUUAGAUGGGUGAUAUGCGUUGUCAUGAAUGGAAGAUGGGAGAGACAAAGAGAGAAGAAGUCUUGUUGUAAAAUAGGGAUAUGGAUGGAAGAGAGAAGAAGUAUGAAGAUCAACGGUCCCAAGUCGUCAUCUAUUUCAUGUAUCAAGUCGAUGAGAGUGUUUUAUUUUAUUACUUUUUGCUUUUAAAUUUUUUUAUUUUAUACACGAGUUAAUAUAUGAUUAGUUUGAGACAUGAAAUUAGAUACCAUUAGUGAUAAGUAAUCCCCAUAAAAGAAUUUUUUUUAGAAGCAAUUACAUUUUUGUUGGCUUAGGACAAAUAAUAAGAUAUCAUUUAAGACAAUCGAUCUCUAUCCCUAGAUGAGUUGGUCAAAUUCAUCUAUCAUUAAUGUAUAAGUAAUACUAAUGUUAGAGAAAAAAAGUUUUUUCUAUUUUACUAUUCAUUUCAUUUCUAAUUAUUAUUGAUUCUUAAAUAAAAGUAAUACAAAUAAAUAUUAUAUAACAUAAUAUAAUAUUAUAUAUAUAAAUAUUUACAUUAAUCGUCCAUAAAUAUUAUCCUGUGAUAGCACAAUGAUGUUUUCUCAUGGGUGGGUUAAAUACCUCUCAUGGUACAUUAUUCUUUGUUAUUAGGGAUUUGUUAACUAACUUUUAUGAACAUGUUUACCGAUUAUUAUUAUUAUUAAUUGGUAUCUAAAACAACCCAAAAUUAAAGUCGAUCUUAAAAUACAUAAAACAUUGAAUCUUACUGUAAAAUAUAUGAAUUCUUAAAGUAGACUUUGAAUUUUAUGGUUGCUUAAAUAUUGUCCUAAGGAGAAUGAUUAGUAAAGUUGUUUAUAUUAUUAUUAUUAUUAUUAUUAUUUAUCUAUGCAAUAGGUAUAUCUUUAUAAAAUACAAUCUUUACCGAGUGGGGAACAUCUACAAUAUGGUGAGGAUAGCUCUCCUAACAAAAUAUUUAGAGAUAUAAUAAUUUAGAGUGUAUUUAGCCAGGCAUGGAAGAGGGUUAUAAGUCAAUUCACCAAUUUAUCUAACUAAAAGUUAAGUCUAGAGUCCUACUAAGUUAAAUGAUAUCCUAGGACAAAUUUUUAAUAGAUAGACUUUAUUAAUAUAGUGGGAGACUUUAUAUUUAAGAGUUUAAAAUAUGUGCAUUGAUAGUGUAAAGUUUUUUACACUAUCAGUAUAUCACCAACCGUUGAUUUGUUUUACUUUUGUUGUUUUAGAGUCAAUGGUAGGUGAUCUACUGACAGUGGUGUAUACAUAUUAAAUCAUAUAUUUAAAUAUGAAUAUUAUUAAAGAUGAUGAACAUAUUAUCAUCAUAUACCCAAUAUCUUUCAUGUCAAACUAUCAAGAAAAAUAUAGAUAAAACUAAAACGGAAGUGUAUCUUAACAUAUUCAUAGAGAAUAUGGUGAAUGAAUAUUAUAGCAUCAUUUGUCAUGUAUCCAUCAACUUCAUGUUCAUUGUCCUUAUAUGUAAAUGCAUGUUCAUAUAGAACAUGUAGGUUCUUUGGUCUUCUAAUUGUAGACCACCCUUAGCCUUAGUUUCUCCUUUAAUGGGAUGAAGAAAAUGUCAUGUUUGCACGUAUGUUGUGGUUCUUGUUGUGUUGUCUAAAAGUGAGGACCAUAACCCCUAUUUAUAAGACAAUCAUUCCCUUUCAUUAAGGGUGGUGUCUUUCAAUUUUCUUAUUUCUUAAUUUUGCUCAUCAUAAAAAUAGAAAUAAGACAUUACGUAUUUAUACAAUAAUUUUCAUGACAAUUAUGUUAUAACCCUAUACCUUACUUAAAAUAGACAACUUUAAUAUGAUUACUUAAAAUAAUAAUCUUAAACACUACAUGUGUAACCCAAAAUUCCUUACGGAUAUUUCAAUAAAACUCCACGAUUAUAAAUCUUGGUUUAAGAAGCAUGUUAAAGUGACAUUUGUCUUACAAUUCCUCAACUUAUAAACUAUUCCAUGUAAUCUUUAGAUCAUGUGGCAUAGUUCCAAUUUCAUUGAAUUCCAUGGUUCUAUCAUCAAUCUUCCACAAAUUGAAGCAAGACCCAUUUCUCAAAUUGCAGAUCCCAGCCAAAACAAGUUGUUUCCUACAAGAAACUAAGAAUGAAAACACAACCCCAUGUGGCCUAAGUGUAUGAACAUCACUCCAAACAUGUUUCUCCAAAUCAAAAGAUGAAACAAAACAAGAGUAUAUCCCAAAAACAUAAAACUUUUUCUUAAACAAAGCAGAAGACAAUGAAGAAGAAGAGUUUCCUGAUCUGAAAUCACCCGGUAGUGGAGGACAAAGCUUCCAAGAACCCAAACUAGGGUCAUAUAUCUCAACAUCCAAAGGUUCCUCUAUAUCAACCAAGUUUCCAAUGAACUUAACACCACCAACAACAACAACAAACCCAUCAUUGAAAACACCAAUGAGAGGGUUGAUCCUUGGAAAGUGAAGAGGUUUUGUUGCAUGCCAAGAAGGGUGCAUGAUAGUGGUGUAACAAAACAUAGGUGCAGUGAUGAAGAAGAAACCAUUAGUUCCUAUGAAAGAAGUGUUGGGUUGGUUUUGGUUUUGGUUUGGAGUAGUGGUGAGGAAAGG